ACGACGGUGGUGUGCAGUGGCGAGGCGCUGCCGGAUUCGACGGCAGGCCGGUUCGCCGAUCGAUUCGGCGCCGCUGUGCC
rnacentral:tRNA from 1 species